GAUGAAGAACGUAGCGAAAUGCGAUAAGUAAUGUGAAUUGCAGAAUUCAGUGAAUCAUCGAAUCUUUGAACGCACAUUGCGCCCGUCAGUAUUCUGGCGGGCAUGCCUGUUCGAGCGUCAUUACGCCCCUCAAGUCCCCUGUGGACUUGGUGUUGGGGAUCGGCGAGGCUGGUUUUCCAGCACAGCCGUCCCUUAAAUUAAUUGGCGGUCUCGCCGUGGCCCUCCUCUGCGCAGUAGUAAAACACUCGCAACAGGAGCCCGGCGCGGUCCACUGCCGUAAAACCCCCCAACUUUUUAUAGUUGACCUCGCAUCAGGUAGGACUACCCGCUGAACUUAAGCAUAUCAAUAAGCGGAGGA
rnacentral:misc_RNA from 1 species